GACAGAGGUGCCGAGCGUUAGGCGGAAUCACUGGGCUUAAAGCGUGUGUAGGCGGACCGUUAAAUACCUUGUGAAAUCCCCCGGCUCAACCGGGGAACGGCUGGGUAUACUGGCGGUCUUGAGCCAUCCAGGGGCAGUCGGAACAGACGGUGGAGCGGUGAAAUGCGUAGAUAUCGUCAGGAAUGCCGGUGGUGAAGACGGGUGACUGGGCUGGUUCUGACACUGAGGCACGAAAGCGUGGGGAGCGAACGGG
rnacentral:rRNA from 1 species